GGGUUGUGAGGUUAAGCGACUAAGCGUACACGGUGGAUGCCCUGGCAGUCAGAGGCGAUGAAGGACGUGCUAAUCUGCGAUAAGCGUCGGUAAGGUGAUAUGAACCGUUAUAACCGGCGAUUUCCGAAUGGGGAAACCCAGUGUGAUUCGUCACACUAUCAUUACGUGAAUACAUAGCGUAAUGAAGCGAACCGGGGGAACUGAAACAUCUAAGUACCCCGAGGAAAAGAAAUCAACCGAGAUUCCCCCAGUAGCGGCGAGCGAACGGGGAGCAGCCCAGAGUCUGAAUCAGCUUGUGUGUUAGUGGAACGGUCUGGAAAGUCCGACGGUACAGGGUGAUAGUCCCGUACACCAAAAUGCACAGGUUGUGAACUCGAAGAGUAGGGCGGGACACGUGGUAUCCUGUCUGAAUAUGGGGGGACCAUCCUCCAAGGCUAAAUACUCCUGACUGACCGAUAGUGAACCAGUACCGUGAGGGAAAGGCGAAAAGAACCCCGGCGAGGGGAGUGAAAAAGAACCUGAAACCGUGUACGUACAAGCAGUGGGAGCCUCUUAAUGGGGUGACUGCGUACCUUUUGUAUAAUGGGUCAGCGACUUAUAUUCUGUAGCAAGGUUAACCGCAUAGGGGAGCCGAAGGGAAACCGAGUCUUAACUGGGCGUUAAGUUGCAGGGUAUAGACCCGAAACCCGGUGAUCUAGCCAUGGGCAGGUUGAAGGUUGGGUAACACUAACUGGAGGACCGAACCGACUAAUGUUGAAAAAUUAGCGGAUGACUUGUGGCUGGGGGUGAAAGGCCAAUCAAACCGGGAGAUAGCUGGUUCUCCCCGAAAGCUAUUUAGGUAGCGCCUCGUGAAUUCAUCUUCGGGGGUAGAGCACUGUUUCGGCUAGGGGGUCAUCCCGACUUACCAACCCGAUGCAAACUGCGAAUACCGAAGAAUGUUAUCACGGGAGACACACGGCGGGUGCUAACGUCCGUCGUGAAGAGGGAAACAACCCAGACCGCCAGCUAAGGUCCCAAAGUCACAGUUAAGUGGGAAACGAUGUGGGAAGGCACAGACAGCCAGGAUGUUGGCUUAGAAGCAGCCAUCAUUUAAAGAAAGCGUAAUAGCUCACUGGUCGAGUCGGCCUGCGCGGAAGAUGUAACGGGGCUAAACUGUGCACCGAAGCUGCGGCAGCGACACUAUGUGUUGUUGGGUAGGGGAGCGUUCUGUAAGCCGUUGAAGGUGUGUCGUGAGGCAUGCUGGAGGUAUCAGAAGUGCGAAUGCUGACAUAAGUAACGAUAAUGCGGGUGAAAAACCCGCACGCCGGAAGACCAAGGGUUCCUGUCCAACGUUAAUCGGGGCAGGGUGAGUCGACCCCUAAGGCGAGGCCGAAAGGCGUAGUCGAUGGGAAACAGGUUAAUAUUCCUGUACUUGGUGUUACUGCGAAGGGGGGACGGAGAAGGCUAUGUUAGCCGGGCGACGGUUGUCCCGGUUUAAGCAUGUAGGCGGAGGUUCCAGGUAAAUCCGGUACCUUUUUAACGCUGAGGUGUGAUGACGAGGCACUACGGUGCU
rnacentral:rRNA from 1 species